UGUGCAUGCAGAAUUAUGUUUGAUGCUGAUUCAAACAUCUAUUGGUAACCUGCUGAUUAUGUUGCUAUGGCAUAGAAAACUUACGUUAUUGGAUCUCAUGUUUCACUAACUACAACACUAAUUCAUUUCAGCCUUAAGUUUGUAUUGUUGUUGUUGAAUUUUCAGUUAGCUUGAUCUCAUGUUCCCGUGUUUAACAGAUGGGCACAUGAGCAGCUCAUGAUUAAAUGUAUCUUGUUGUGAAGAUGACAUCUGGCUGUGAGGAUGUAAUACUGAUCUCAGAUGUGAGAACUAAUGUGUAUCUAAUUGGCAAUUGCAGAUGUCUUAGGACCAAACCAGCGACGGUCUUCUUGAGGGACUCAACUGGCAGAUUUGAGUUAAAUGAUUGGGAAAAAGUGUGCCAUGUUCUUCGGUGCUUUGAUCAAAUUUUAAUUGCUCCUUUGCUGUUCACGCAUCUACUGUGCUCAAUUAUAAGUAUAGUGGUGGCUCCCUGUAAAGGUUUCCUGAGAUGUGUUAGUGAUUUAACAGAGUAUAGUUCAGUUACCAUCAAUUUUACUUGGCAGCCUUUUUUCAAUGCUGCUGCUAAUUAGAGAUUGUCUCUUGUAGAGUAUGCAGUUAGCAGCUGGCACUGGCCAGUAUGGCCAUAUCCUUUUACUAUUCUAUUUAGAUCAAGUGAUCAGCAUGAGCAUAAUCGGGGAGUUAGAGUACUAUUGUUGAUACUAUGGCUUUUCAAACAGCAAUUGCAGGGACCAUCUAAUUAAAUCAGAAUAGUGGCUUGCAACUGGUACUAGGCUACUAGCCCCAUUGUUCUCUUAGGUAUUAAUAUAUGCUCAUUUUUUUUCUCAGGAAUUACGUAUUGGAGAAACGAUUUUUCAGGAGAAUUUUUUUACACCGAAACAGCUAUAUGAUGUAUUGGUUUUCAUAGAAGAUGAUUCUUGUUUUAUAUGGCUUGCGGUGGAUACAAAUCAACAUUCGAUGUGUUGUUUAUCUCCGGGUUGACAUGGUGCUCCUGGAAGGCUAUCCCAUCUCUAUGAUGGAAUUAUAUCUAUUUAACUCAUAGUUGUAUAUUGUAAUUUGAAUAUUUGUGUAAAGAUCAUGAAAUUAUUUCUCAUGUAUUUCUUGCUGUUGAUUGUGUGAAUUGCUGGGUUAAAUAUUCAGAACACGUGAUGAAAUUUGGUAGCUACCAAAGUACUAGAAUUGUCUGCUGUGAAUUUACUCGUGUACAUGUAAAAAAUAGCAACCGCCAAUUUACUAAGAGUAGCACCAUAUCAGAUGGCAGCUAUCAAUUUAUUUGCCACUGGUCUGCCCUUGCUGUCCUCUGUCCUCCAAACAGCGACAGGGAUGGGGGGAGGGGUUGAGGAUCGCUGCCCAGGGAAUCGCCUCGCUAGUGGAAUUCCCGCCGGGCUUCUAUUCCACGGGAUAAUCUGGGACCGGCUCCCAAACUAGCCCCUAGAGUUGGAUCUCACGUCCGCCCUUAUCCUCUCCCUGCGCUGCGCUCAAGUCCUUCGCCCUCGCCCCCUCCGCCUCUCACCGCCUCCUCCGCCCGCUCCGCGCCGACCUCCUCCCCGCCGCGCUCGCCCACUACCCGUCCACCUCACGCCUCGACCUUUCCGCUGUGCGCGUGUCCCCUCAGGAUCAUCCCUCCACGCCCUUGACCUCUCUCGCUCCGGGGGCCUGCCCGGACCUCGCCGACCUCGACCUCUCCAAUGGGGUCUAUCUCGGGGACGCCGCGGCAGCCGAGGUGGGGCGGAUCUGGGGCCCUCCCCCCCAUCGACCGCCCCCUCCCUCCCCCGGCCCGCCUCCCCGCCGGAUCUGGGGUGCGGCUCGGAGUGGGGGCCACAGCAAGCUCCUGCGCAGCUCCGGCAGUGGCGCGGCGGUGGGGCCAGGGCUCGCCCGCCAGCGCACGUGUAGGGGGCGGCGUGCCGCGGUUGCCGGCGUCCCGGCGCGACAGGCAGCUCCGGCUCUGGCCCCGUACAUACUAUCCCUUCCCCUCCCCUCUCCUGUUCCCAUCUCUUCUAUCUCCUCCAGGACCGGAUGGCAGCCAAGCCUGAUGGCAGCAAAGAAGGGCGCAGCGCACGGUCAGAGGCGACAGCAGGUAGGGAGAUCGCCGGGGUACGGUUUCCUCCAGGGCCGGAGAGCCUCGUUGCGACGGAGCACCCACAACCCGCAGCGCACAGCCAUCGACCUCGACAAUGCACAGUGAUUUGUUUCCGAAUUUGUUCCUUUGUUUUACCUCCUACGUUACGUUUUUGGAUCUGAUUUACCGUUCAGACCAAUAGAUUGAGUUCUCUUUCUAUAGUGUCCCUACAGUAGCCCAAGCAUUUGCUAGAUCUAUUUGCGUUAUUCUGGCUCAUCAAUAAGAUCGACAUAACUCCUGCUUGGUUAGACCAUCUGAUUAGACCGGUGGCUUGUGUCUGCUAGUAUGCGUACUCAUACCUACAAGUGAACCAAACCGUGCAUUUACUAAGAACUAUUUACUCGCAUAGCAUGGAAUUUAUUUUCAUGUUAGCUCUAUUUAGGCGAUACAUAGUUCUGCACUAUGUCUGGAAUUAAUAUUAGCCUGAUUUUAGAGGUAGAACAGGUGGAGCUGAUGAAGAAUCGACCACAGCAGGAUAAGUCCAAGCUCACUGGGUAGGCCUUUGGUCCUAGUUAUCAGUUAAAGGACAGCUGGCCCAAAUAUCCAGAUACAGCCUGAGUCAAGAUGGGACACGCUGUGGCAACAGUCACGCGUUCUGCAGCAUGAAGAUCCGCUGGUCACGUGGAGCACUGCAUCGAUAAUCAGCUGGCUAACACAGAGGAGUACAGAGCUAGAGGGCACGAGGGAUGAUAUUGCUAACUUUUUGUUUUGUUGGAUACAAUUUAUGUUUUCUGUAGGACUCUAAUAAUGUGUAUGGAUAUAACUGGAUAUAACUGAGUAUGGAUGUAAUAAAGGAAUAGAAAAAAUUUUGAUUUCU